CGUAGGGUGCGAGCGUUAAUCGGAAUUACUGGGCGUAAAGCGUGCGUAGGUGGUUCGUUGUGUCUGUGGUGAAAGCCCCGGGCUUAACCUGGGAAUGGCCAUGGAAACUGGCGAGCUGGAGUCUGGCAGAGGGGGGUGGAAUUCCGCGUGUAGCAGUGAAAUGCGUAGAGAUGCGGAGGAACACCGAUGGCGAAGGCAGCCCCCUGGGCUAAGACUGACGCUGAGGCACGAAAGCGUGGGGAGCAAACAGG
rnacentral:rRNA from 1 species